rnacentral:lncRNA from 1 species
AUGAGAAGGAUUGUAAUAAUUCCAUUUCUAGUAGGAAUUAUAACAACUCCCCUUCUAUGUACAGCACUUUCUGACUCUCACAUCACUCUGACACUACUAUUUCACAAGCUAGGGCAUUUUUUAUUUGGUCUUAUAAAUGAAGAAAUUCAGCAUGUGAAAAUAANNNNNNNNNNNNNNNNNNNNNNNNNNNNNNNNNNNNNNNNNUUAGGAAACCACCUCACAAAUGACAAUUGUCUUUUUCAGCAUAACCAGAUUCUCUGGAUGUUUUUAUCAGAUAAUACUGUGUGCAUUGGGUCUUCUCACAUGUUACAUAUUUACAGAGGUUGUCAGAGUCAAGGGAAACAAAAGAAGGGGACAAAAUACCCAUGGAUGAUCCACAGUGCAAGUCCAUCACCACUUUAGCCAGAAAAAAGGAGGAGAGGUUGUCCCCAGAAGCUACUGGAAGAGGACUCCCCCCCAACAAAAGCCAUGGCUACAGACAGCCAAUCAAAGCGCAGCUUGGUGGGAAAAGAAUAAGAUUCUCACCCUCUGCCCUCUAGUCUCCUGUCCCAGCAGCCAAAAACAACAGAAGCAAAAGGACAGGGAACUCUGGGUGACAGGGUUCACAUAUAUUAGUGAAACGGAACAAAUGAAAACUAACCAGUACUGGGACUUCUCUGGUGGUCCAGAGGUUAAGACUCUGAGCUUCCAAUGCAGCGGGUUUGGGUUCGAGCCCUGGUUUGGGAACUAAGAUCCCAUGUGCUGCACAGCUCGACCAUAAAUAAGUAAAUAAAUCCAUGCCCCCCUAGAUAAUUGAUUAAUUAAUGCCUCCAGAUAAUAAAUUCAAGCCCCAAAUAAUAAAUUCCUGUCUCUAGAUAAUAAAUAAAUAAAUAAAAUCAAGCCCCUAGAUAAUAAAUAAAUGAAUUCGUGCCUCCAGAUAAUAAAUAAAUAAAUUCUUCUCUCCAGAUAGCAAAUAAAUAAAUCCAUGCCCCCAGAUAAUUAACUAAUUAAUUAAUUAAUCCCCCAGAUAAUAAGUAAAUGAAUUCAUGCCUCCAGAUAUUAAAUAAAUGCAUGCCUCCAGAUAGCUAAUUAAUUACCUCAUUCCCCAAGAUAGUAAAUAAAUUCAUGCCCCCAGCCUAGACCUACAGAAUAGGGAUAUGGGAUGAGAAGUAACUAGAGAAUCUCCAGUGAAGCC